rnacentral:lncRNA from 10 species
UACUGAGAAAACUCAGAGAAGAAGACAUUCAGGGAGACACCAAGCCAGGGAGGUGACAAGUAUGUGGUAAAAUCCGAGCACGCAGAAUUUGGGGGAACAGGACUCUAGACUGCCUCUAGAGAGAGCUGUAUUGAAGGCCCUGCGACCCAGCACAGAGAAGGGAAUGGUGCUCUAGGUCCCUGCCUCUGCAGAAGACAAAUCCAGGAAGAGAACCAGGAAACUGCAGAGUAGCCAGCCACAUGCGAGAAAAAUCUGAAGGAGACGAAAAUGUUUCAGGAGAAAGGGCUUUUCAACUGGUGCAUAAUUUAGGUUAAAGUUUCUGAGCAGCUCUGGACUGCAAAAGGGCCUCCCUUCACUGAGCAGAUGUAUAUGACCCCGUGCUUCUCCGAUUCAUACCAAACUUCAGAGAAACUCCGGGAAAGGUUCCUUCUGUAUUUAUGGAUGAGAAUUAUGUGAAGCCUCUACAACCAUCGUAGUUCAUAUCUCCAGAGAGGUAAAGGAAUGCUAACAGAACAAGUCACUGAAAAGGGAGACUUGGCCAGUGACAAUCAGGCUUCUCAGCUUCCACAGUGGCUGCAAACCAGUUUGAGCAGAUUUCUGUUUGGCCCUUUCUCGAGGUAUAAUUUGCAGUGAAGUGCACAAAUCAGUGAAAUUUUACGUAUGCAACCUUUAUCACUCACCACCCAAACCAGAGUGGUGUCUUCCCAACACCCCAGGGCCUCUAGUCCUUUUCCAGCGUUGCCUGAAGACACAAACUACUGAUGGCUGCAUCCACAUGACUGACUUCAAACACAGCACGCUGCAGGAGAAAAGCCGGAUACGCGCGUGGAAAGUGGGUGGCUCCACCACCCUGCUGUUCAGGUUUUCUUUCUGAAAGUUCUUUUGGCUUUAUUAUGGAAUAGAGGUUACAGAAAGGCAAAAGCUUUGGCCGUAGCGGGUGGGAAGAUCUUCCUUACCCUGGAGGAGGAAGUAGGGUCUCCGUAAUGUAUGUGUGGUACUCAGGGCUCCCGGCAGCCCGAAGCCAGAGUGUGUCCUCACCCUGCCCCGGGUCAGCCCUGUGACCUGGAGGGAGCAACUGAAAAGCUCUGGGCCUCGGAUUCCUCAUCUGUGAAAUGGGGAUGCUAACAGUGCUACCUCCUCUGGUUGGUUUGUGGCAGAGGACACAUGAGGCAACCUGUGUAAAAUGCUUGGAGGGUGGCCAGUGUGGUUACCAUGGAGAUUGACUGGUACCGUCUUCCACAUCCUGUGUUGACUAAGCGCGCACACCAGAAUACAGUUCCAAACGAUUAUCAAACAUGAAUACAAUUCAGAAAAUAAACAUGCAGCAAAACUUGCCAUAAAGAUUGCAUGAAACUAUCACUUUAAGAAAAAUACAUUAAAAAUUACCUUAAAUACCGAAAAGUACUUUUGUAAGUAAGGAUCAGUCCAAUAAAUUUAACCUGUAUUUGAAUCAGUGUAAAACAACUUGGUUUAUAAUUUUGUCUUCAUCGAGUGGGGGUGACUUUUGUAGCUUCUGUCACUGCUGCCUGGAGUAUAGAAUUAAACACCUUUUUGCAGAAAAAGCCUCCAGCUGUUUUUUUUUUUUUUUUUUUUUUUUUUACUCUCAGAUAAUAUGGGGUGAUUUUUAAAAGACCUGAG